GACCGCAACCGCGUGGGUAAGUGGAAACACCCCCAAGGCAUCGCUCGAUGAGCCUGACAGCGCGUAGUGCGGUUUU
rnacentral:ncRNA from 12 species